rnacentral:rRNA from 1 species
CAGUCGCCGCGGGAACACGUAGGUGGCAAGCGUUGUCCGGAAUUAUUGGGCGUAAAGGGCUCGCAGGCGGUUUCUUAAGUCUGAUGUGAAAGCCCCCGGCUCAACCGGGGAGGGUCAUUGGAGACUGGGAAACUUGAGUGCAGAAGAGGAGAGUGGAAUUCCACGUGUAGCGGUGAAAUGCGUAGAGAUGUGGAGGAACACCAGUGGCGAAGGCGACUCUCUGGUCUGUAACUGACGCUGAGGAGCGAAAGCGUGGGGAGCGAACAGGAUUAGAUACCCCGGUAGUCCCUGUCUCUUAACA